UCGUAGAUCUUCAAUCGCCGUCUUCCUUUUGUCUUUUUUUUUUCAACAUUAUCUGGUAAUUUUAUUUGUUUUUUCUACUGUUUUUUUAUAUAAUUUUAAUGCGUGAAUUUGAGUAAUUUUUUUUCUUGGAUAGGUUUAAGAAAUUUGCACGAAUUAUUGGAAAUUGCAUUUUCGAAGAAAUACAUUUACAUCUUCUUCGAAUUUUUGGAUUUUCUCCACCUCGUAAGUAAUUUUUUAGUUAUAUUCUUAUUUUCUUUGUAUUGCUGUUGUUGUUAUUAUUAUUUCUGAAAUUUGAUCUCUUUUCUUAUGGUAGCGUUGAUAAACAAAUUUUAAAAAAUUGGCUCCGCAAAGGCGAUCGCAGCGCCACACGGGUGGCCAGAUGCAGCAAAACAAUGCUGCUGCGACGGCGUUUUACGAUCACGCUGGAGGCGGUGGGUCCUUCAACAAUGCUG
rnacentral:lncRNA from 1 species